rnacentral:lncRNA from 1 species
UCCCAAUGAGGUCCCCACAUCCCAAUGAUGUCCCCAAAUCCCAAGGUCCCCAAAUCCCAUAUCCCAGUGAUGUCACCACCCCAAUGUCCCCAAAUCCCAUAUUCCCAUGUCCCCAUGUCCCCAAAUCCCAUAUCCCAAUGUCCCCAAAUCCCAUAUCCCAAUGUCCCCAUUCAAUGUCCCCAUAUCCCAAUGAUGUCCCCAAAUCCAAUAUCCCACUGAUGUCCCCAAAUCACCCAUAUCCCAAUGACGUCCCCAAAUCCCAAUGAUGUCCCCAAAUCCCAAUGUCCCCAAAUCCCAGUGAUGUCCCCAAAUCCCAAUGACGUCCCCAAAUCCCAAUAACGUCCCCAAAUCCCAAUGACGUCCCCAUAUCCCAAUGAUGUCCCCAAAUCCCAUAUCCCCAUGAUGUCCCCAAAUCCCAUAUCCCCAUGUCCCCAUCCCAUAUCCCAAUGAUGUCCCCACCCAAUGUCCCCAAAUCCCAUAUCCCAAUGUCCCCAUACCCCGAUGUCCCCAUAUCCCAAUGUCCCAGUGAUGUCCCCAUCCCAUAUCCCAAUGUCCCCAAAUCCCAUAUCCCAAUGUCCCCAUGUCCCCAUGUCCCCAAAUCCCAUAUCCCAGUGAUGUCCCCAUCCAAUGUCCCCAUGUCACUUUGGGGACAUUUUGGGGUCACAUUUUGGGGCACUUUGGGAUACUUUGGGGACACACUUUGGGGACACACUUUGGGGACACAUUUUGGGGACAUUUGGGGUCACAUUUGGGGACAAUUUGGGGGCACAAUUUUGGGGACAUUUUGGGACAAUUUGGGACACAGCUCUCAAAGGUCCCUUUGGGGUCACAUUUUGGGGACACACUUAUGGGGACAUUUGGGGACACAUUUUUGGGGUCACAUUUUGGCGACAUUUGGGGUCAAUUUGGGGACACUUGGGGUCACAUUUUUGGAGUCACAUUUUGGGGACAGUUUGGGACAAUUUGGGGACAUAUGGGGAAACAUUUUUGGGGUCACAUUUUGGGACACUUUGGGGACACAUUUAUGGGGACAUUUUGGGGUCACUUUGGGGCCACAAUUUGGGAUCACAUUUUUGGGGACAUUUGGGAUCAAUUUGGGGACACUUGGGGUCACAUUUUGGGGUCACAUUUUGGGGACACUUUGGGGACACAUUUAUGGGAGAUUUUGGGGUCACUUCAGGGCCACUUCGGGGACACAAUUUGGGGUCACAUUUUGGGGACAUUUGGGGUCAAUUUGGGGACACUAGGGGUCACAUUUUUGGGGACAGUUUGGGACAAUUUGGGGACAUUUGGGGACACAUUUUGGGGUCACAUUUUGGGGACAUUUGUGGACACAUUUAUGGGGACAUUUUGGGGUCACUUUGGGUUCACAUUUUGGGGUCACAUUUUGGGGACAGUUGGGGUCAAUUUGGGGACACUUUGGGGACAUUUGGGGUCACAUUUAUGGGGACAGUUUGGGACAAUUUGGGGACAUAUGGGGAAACAUUUUUGGGGUCACAUUUUGGGACACUUUGGGGACACAUUUAUGGGGACAUUUUGGGGUCACUUUGGGGCCACAAUUUGGGAUCACAUUUUGGGGACAUUUUGGGGUCACUUUGGGGACACAAUUUGGGGUCACAUUUUGGGGACAUUUGGAGACAGUUUGGGGACAGUUUGGGACAAUUUGGGGACAUUUGGGGUCACAUUUUUGGGGUCACAUUUUGGGGUCACAAUUUGGGGACACUUUGGGGACAUUUGGGGACAUUUUUUGCUGUGUCCCCCCCCCUUCCCCCCUAUUUGGGGGCAACAAAACCCUUUUCUCACCCCGCACCCCAACCCAGACCAGCGCCGUCGUCAU